rnacentral:tRNA from 1 species
AGGAUGUUAAGUUAAGUUAAACUAUGGCACUUCAAAUGCUAAUAUGAACAUGAUGUUCACAUCUUG